rnacentral:rRNA from 1 species
UACGUAGGGUGCGAGCGUUAAUCGGAAUUACUGGGCGUAAAGCGUGCGCAGGCGGUUUUGUAAGCCAGGGGUGAAAUCCCCGGGCUUAACCUGGGAAUGGCAUUUGGGACUGCAAGGCUUGAGUGCGGCAGAGGAGACUGGAAUUCCUGGUGUAGCAGUGAAAUGCGUAGAUAUCAGGAGGAACACCGAUGGCGAAGGCAGGUCUCUGGGCUGACACUGACGCUCAUGCACGAAAGCGUGGGGAGCAAACAGG